rnacentral:rRNA from 1 species
CCUACGGGAGGCAGCAGUGGGGAAUAUUGCUCAAUGGGGGAAACCCUGAAGCAGCAAAGUCGCGUGGAGGAUGAAUGUUCUAGGAUUGUUAACCCUUUUUGUUAGAGAAGAUUAUGCCGGUAUGUAACGAAUAAGGAACGGCUAACUUCGAGACAGCAGCCGCGGUUAUAUGGCGGGUGCAACCGUUACUCGGAGUAACCGGGCGUAAAGAGUGCGUAUGAGGGGUAAUAAGUCAGAUGUGAAAUCCUGUAGCUUAACUACAGAACUGCAGUUGAAACUGUUUGUCUGGAGUGUAGGAGAGGUAGGUGGAAUUCGUGGUGUAGGGGUGAAAUGCGUAGAGAUCAAGAAGAAUACUGAUUGCGAAGGCAGCCUACUGGAACAUUACUGACGCUGAUGCACGAAAGCGUGGGGAGCAAACAGGAUUAGAUACCCCAGUAGUC